UAUACUAAUACUUUUAUAAGAUUAUUGUCUUGAAAUAAAGUAACAAAGGUAGCAAGUUUUAAAUUACUCAGUGUUGGUUAUCAUGAUUUUUUUUUUUAUAUGUAAUGAAAUACUGAUAUGCAGAGUAUACAUGUAUAAGGUUGUUAUGUCUUUUCAGAUUAUGGCGAUAAAUCCAUAUUAUCCGGAGAUUGACAGACUUUGAUAAUCACUCAAUGAUUAAUAAGUGACACAAGCUGAAAUCACUUUUAUACACAAGAGAUGGUGAUACUUGGAGAUUCAGACUUGGAUUAACAAUACAUAAAAGCCAUGGAAGACCAGGGAGUGUCAUCAGUGCUGAGUUUGAUGGAUCUGAUCUUUGUCUCUUCCACCCACAUCCUUAUUCAAUGAGAGAUCCUUUUCUCAUAUAAAACUUGUCAAGAAUGGAGAGCAAGGCUGUCCACAGCUUCAUUGAGUGAUAUCAUGGUUAUGAAAAGCUGUUGACACAUUUGAUCCUUCAACAGCUAUAUCAAAAUGUCUGGUAAAAUAU